CCUACGGGAGGCAGCAGUGGGGAAUAUUGGGCAAUGGGCGCAAGCCUGACCUAGCAACGCCGCGUGAAGGAAGAAGGCUUUCGGGUUGUAAACUUCUUUUCUCAGGGACGAAGCAAGUGACGGUACCUGAGGAAUAAGCCACGGCUAACUACGUGCCAGCAGCCGCGGUAAUACGUAGGUGGCAAGCGUUAGCCGGAUUUACGGGGUGUAAAGGGCGUGUAGGCGGGAAAGCAAGUCAGAUGUGAAAACCAUGGGCUCAACCUGUGGCCUGCAUUUGAAACUGUUUUUCUUGAGUAGUGGAGAAGCAGACGGAAUGCCUAGUGUAGCGGUGAAAUGCGUAGAUAUUAGGAGGAACACCAGUGGCGAAGGCGGUCUGCUGGACAGCAACUGACGCUGAGGCGCGAAAGCGUGGGGAGCAAACAGGAUUAGAUACCCUAGUAGUC
rnacentral:rRNA from 1 species